CCUGUGGGGAGGUGUGUGCUGGCCCAUUGGGUCGGGCUAGACUUUCCUUUCUCUGCUGGACUCAGGAGGCAGCGGUUGUGGGUGCCGGGGCUUGUUGAUUCUGUGGGUGCAUUGCCACAUCCGUGACCGUGCAGCGGUGCCAGCACUGAGGCUGGCGGGCACCUACGCAGGAACCAGACUGAAGGCAGAGCCCCUCUCCUGCGCGUGCUCUCACCGACGCGUCUGGCACUGGGCUGUCCUCCCUUCCUGUGCAGGGACACUGCAAACACAGGCCUCCAGCCGCCUUUGCCCGGGGAUCCAGAGAUCAUAAAUUGCUCUCUUGCUUUCUGGGGGUCCAAGUUAGUGAUUUUGCCGACUUCCUGGAUGUUCAUUUCUGGUUCUGCACAAAAGAGUCACAUUUCCUUUUGGAAUCAGGACCAGGAGACAGAAGCGGACUCGGGAACUGUGAGUGCCCCCCGGUCUUCCCCGGCGCCUCUGACCCCUUCCUCCAUCUCGCCGCCUUCCCUGCCUUCAGCGCGGAGUUCCCUUUCUCCAGGGCUUCUUGUCUGAACUCACCCCCUCGGCUCUCAGCACCAUUCUCCACUUUUAGGAAAAGAAACUCUACAAUUUCUAUGCAAACAUCGGAUAAGAAGGGGAGGGGGAGUGACUUUGAUUUUCAUUUUAAGACUCUGAAAGACGGAGAAAGUAAGCAGAAGCGGGCUGGUGUAUUUCAGAGGCUCCCAGUGAGUCCCUACUAAAUUUACCUAAUAAAAUGAAUUUUUAAAAUUUUCGUUUUCUCAUUUCAUUCCAGCAGAAAAUGAGUUUGCCUUUAUAAUGUCCAGAUCUUUCCAACUCUAUUGAGUGAGAAAUUAACUUACAAAAUUUAAAUACUUUGGUACACAC
rnacentral:lncRNA from 1 species